UUAUGCUUUUUCAUAAAACUAAUUGGAAAAACUAACAGAAUACGUAAUAGCGAUGUGAAAAAAAGUGCAUUAAAGUGCCUUAAGUAGCCUCUAAAUGAUUAUGUAAGGCAACUGCAAUUGCGCCAACUUUUUACGGCCCAAUGGAGCGCAUCGCUGCAACUACCAAAUGCAACUGAAUAAACAGCAAAUAAAUCGAUAGGGGAAGUGGAACUCAUUGUCUUAGGUUAGUGAAGUCACUUUGGGCAUAAUAAUCAGCAGAAAUAUAUGGGCAAGCUAUGGCUAUAGCCCUAAAAUCAAGUUCAAUGAUUGACGAUAUCGUGAAAAUCAAUUUCCGAGCGUGACAAAAGUUCAGCCAAAUUAUUUGCCUGUCGGCAGAAAGUUAGCGUGUUAUAUAAAAAGCAUUCUGAAUGGAUAUAGAUUACAAUCGUUAAUAGCUUAACGCUAUAAAAUCAUCAAACUUUGACUCUUUUCGCACGACAGAGGAGUUGAAUAAAAAAGGAAACCAAUAAAGAAACCAUUAGGCAUACAUUUUUUGUGAACAUGUAAAUGAACUUCCACGUUUUACUGGUUUUCGCUCUGCUCGAACAUGCGGCAAAUUUAGUUGACAAAAGACGAAAGAAUUGAUUGAACGGAAUAGAAUGAAAAACGUAGUAGAAGCAAAUAGUACCCUUUAACUUUUGUGUAUGAAAAAAGCAUUCAAUGCUGCCGAAAAAGUGUUCAACCAUGUGUCAAAACGGAUUUUGUAUAAACUAGUCUUUGAAAGUUAUAACAAAAGUUGCAGGUUAUAGGAAUUUCUUGAUUAAAAGGUGGCAGAAACUAUCAAAACCUUCCAUCACCGCAGCAGACAAUGGAAAACUCAGCCAUCAGCAGAACGCAUGGAAAAGCAACAGACGCGAGAAACUUCCGACUAAAUAUAUAGAUAUAGUUUGCGUGUGACAUGCAAGGCCCAAAGUGGGGUAGUGAAGGGAUCUGUCGCUGGCUGGUUGGAGCGGAGAAAUAUAAUAUCAAGGGGGUAUGUAUUUAAAUUGCACGGCGACACCAGCGAAGCCCCAUUUUUUUCUUUCUUCCCCCACAAAAGCGAAAAGCGGGAAGGUCUGAACAGAACCAUUAAAGUGCACUGAAUUGGAAUAUAUAUGCACAUAUGCAUAUACAUAUCCAUAUACGAGUAGGUAUAGAUGGAGAUUUGUGGGUGCGCAAAGAGGUGUCUGGCCCCAGCCAAAUGUGGCUGAACCUUCCAAACAGAAACAGCAGCUGUAGUAGUAGUAGAAAGCAGGUUGAUCGAGCGCUCGUCUGUGGGAAAUCUAUGACUUCGCUGUGUCGUCAGUUUGUUUGCCGCCAUUUUCACUAUCCCACAUCCUAUAUCCUUGCCGCGUGGAAAGCAUUUCCCAUUUUCCAUCUACAAGCCACGGACCGUUGAGCACCGAAAUGAAGUCACUUGACAACUCCAACUGAUGUUGAUUGCACGGCGGCGCUGCUGUGCAUUAAUUAUUUAGAAUAUGGCGACGCUGGUAAAAACACAUCGACUCGAAAAGUAUGCAAUUAGUAUUUGGCGUGAUUGUUGCCAGGCGUGGCACAAAUGUUAUCUGAUGGCCGAUUGCCCCGUUCUGAUUGCGAUUGUGUGUCUCUCCAUUGUAAAUUGGGUUAAUAGUUGUGUAUAAAGUACAACCUUUCAAAUGGACAUGAAAUCAACGUAGAUAGAUUCGCUUCCCUUUUGGAGCUACUAAGACGUUGAAAUAACUUUAAUAGCUAGUCAAAUAACUUCAAGAACCCAUGCACUCUAUCAAUUACAUUCCCCUUGGUUAUCCUGCAGCUUGUCCACUCAAAGGCUUCGACAACUAACCCAAAACUGUCAACAUUUUAUCAACUCCGAUGUCUUCGCCCACUGUGUGUGAGUUUCGGUGAGUUAGUUUUGGGGAGUGUCUGUGUGUGUGUGGCUUUCCCCGCCCUCGUCUACAUAUGAAAUUCAAUGAAAAACUUUUCUACACACACUCACUUAGCGGACAAAGCCAUUUCCCAUUUUCCCCAUAUCCCUGGAAAAAUGAAUAAAGUGUCUGCAUGCGGUUUUCUUUUCAGUGCUUUACAUGCUUUUAGUUUAGUUAAGCUUUCUGACCAACAAAACUUAAAUGAGCUAGACAAAGUGCCAAAGCAAAGGGUGGCCCUCAAAAUAUUCGCUUGAAUAUCCAGCCAAGAAAGCAGGGCAAAAUUUGGUUAAGGAUACUAUGCUUUGGGGCAUUCGUCGUGGUUAACCCCUUUGCUAAUGAGGCAAUUUAAAUUUAUGGCUGGCCCAGAGUGAAAUUUUAAAUAUUACAUACUCCUUCGCCUGCUGGUUUAUUCAUCAGUCGAAUGAACUUGUCAAAGUCCUUCCACUUGCCAAAGAAAUGCAGAUGAAUUCAGAUGCAAGGCCACCAGCAGUAAACAAGUGGCCCGGAAAAUGAGCAGCUGGAAAACUGUCUGCAAAUGAGAGGUGCGACAUGAAAACGCUUUGAGAAAGUAGUUCGGUAAAUCUCAUGACAGCUAGACAACAAACUACAACUCAUUGACAUACUUGCAAAAGCCCACAGAACACAGAACGCCAAGAACUAAACAACUUUAUCAGCACAUAAUUCCGAAUGAAGUAAGGUAGGAGCAAGAAUACAAAAAAUAAAGAAAAACUUGGCCAAGAAACAAGGGAACGAAUAAAAGAAAUGUCCCGACUUUCCUACGUCUGGCUGCUUAAUUAUGAAGCUUGUUAACUAUUAAUGAAAAAGUUGUUGCAAACCUCCCCAGACGUAACCAACUAAAAGUUGACAAACUACUGGCAAAGGUCGCAACUUACGAUGGGGGAUGAAAAGUGGUCAAAAAGUAGGCUGAAGUGGGCUGAAGUGGAAAUGGAUUCUAUCCAAGAAACGUAGCUUAAUUUUACGCAGUACACAAAUACUAAUGAUUUUAGUGGUCAAAUAUUUGCAAUAAUAGUUUGGAAAAUAUUUUAUACAUCAUCAGUUCUUCUUGAAAUGCAGUUAAAAUGCAUUUUAAAUUGGCAUUGGAAUUUGCAUAAUGCAAAACGUUUCACUUAAAUAUUUUUGGUAUUAUUCGUUAAUUAUUUGAGCUAUGGAUAAAAUACAAAUAUGUUCGCUUUGUUCCGCUCUGAAACAUUGAUGACAUCUCAAACUUAUAUAUGGUGUAUAAAUAAUAUACAGAAUACUAGUACCAAUGAAAAGUAUUCCCCAUGUCCGUGCUCCAAUUAAUUUCAAUGCAAUAUCGAGCGAAGUGUAAUCAGCAAAUUAGCAUUUUUAUAUGUACCAUUUCGAGGGGUAAUUCCAUUUCUUAUCGAGGUCAAUGUCUUUAGCCGCGCACUUAUGAGCUAAUCAAGCGUUGCUCCAUCGUCUGCAGCGAAUUGGCCCGCUCAGUCUGGCCACGAAUAAAUAAAUAACUUGGCCAGGCCAACUUAAUGUGAUUAAUUGCGUCAUGCAGAGAGCAAUGUCGUCAAAUGAUUUCACACCCGCCAGGGGGUGGGUGUUCGGGGUGUUCUGGUGUUCAGGGGUUCUGGGGUUUCAUUGGGGUUUUCGCCGUUCGUUGUUUUCCAUUCUCCAAUCUCCAUUUUCCUCAUCGCUCUUUGUCAGCGCUUGUGCCCGAUUUCCCCGGCAUUUUGCCCGUUUCGCCCCUGGAGUGUGAUAAGUGCGCUUUUGGGUUUUGUAUUACACGACUUCGUACUGAAAUUUACGACGUAGUUUUUCUAAUUUUUCUAUUUAAUUAGCACACACACCCACACACACACAUACACAAGCUCACAAACAUCAAGGCCAUGGGAAAGGUGGUGCUGUCAAUAGCAUUUUCCGGUUGACGGUGAUGGUGGUGGUGAGAAAUGAAACCUUUCGGUAGUUGGGGAUGAUAUUUCCUGCGGGCGUGAAGACAAAUGAUUCGGCUAUCUGACAAACUGUUGCCAUCUCCUUAAUGAUGUCAGCAUGUUAAUUAAAGGCAAAUUAUUUGCUAAACUCUUCGUCUCUGCGCUUCUUUUUCGGGGUGGAUUGAAUGAGGAAUUACUUGUUCUUUUCGUGUGCUUUAAAGUUUACCCAUGUGAGCUCGAGUUAAAAGUUAAGAAGUGUUUAUAGGUUAACUCAAGUUUCUGCGCGGGGUUGAAAUUGAUUGAUUAGAAGGGAAAUUUCCUUGGCUCCCAGGUUAGCAGAUAAAUUUCAGAUAAACAGGAGUUUGCAUUUGAAGUGUACUACAUAUGAUUUUGUGUAGAUCCCCCGUUAGAUCAUUACUAAAAAACUUUCCUCGCUCAGAACACUAUUCCAUAUGGGCCAUUCACUACACUAAGCCAUUAAAGGGGCGGCAGUUGCAAGGACACACUGCUGAUAAGCGCAUAUGCUGUGAAGCAUGCAUCAGGGCUUCGCUUAAUUAAUGUCUCGGCUACCAAAUUUGCGACGCCCCGCCACUUGCCAUACCCCCUCCCUUCUACAACUGCCCCCUUCUCUAACCGAUGUCAACUAUUUGCCACUUACUAAUUAGCAUUUGCGUGUCCACACAAACUUCAAGGGAAGACGACUAAGACGCAGUGUCUGAGGCGAGGAGUAACCGCUAAUUGGGCUUUAUUGGCGGUAAAUGUCAAGUGACGGCAUUGGAUGACACUUUCCACCAGCCCGCUCCAACAAUUUUCACUCCUUCGGUGGAACGCCCACGACCGAAAAGCAACAACCACUUGAUUAUGGCUUUCGACAGAUAACAGGAGGUGAAUAUUGGGGACGUAGAAGCAAUUUAUCGUUGUCCAUGGUAACGGAAAAGUCUUUCGAAAUGAGCAAAGUUGCCUAAGGAAGCUAAAGGUAAUCAGUCGGGCUUAAAAUAGAUCAAAACUUUAAUGUUGCACAGCAAACUUUAGCUUAUAACUUUCAGGAAAGCAAUUGGUUUAGUAAAUACCACAAUAUAUACUUUAUAAAAGUUGGUUUAUCCUUAUUUUCAAA